GUAGUUAUAGUUUAACAAAAACAUUAGAUUGUGAAUCUAACAAUAGAGGCUUACAACUUCUUACCUACC
rnacentral:tRNA from 4 species